rnacentral:tRNA from 1 species
AAGGAUUUAAGUUAUAUUUAAACUCACAGCCUUCAAAUCUGUCAAAAAAGUUUCUUUAAGCCUUA